rnacentral:rRNA from 1 species
GAGACAGCAGCAGCCGCGGUAAUGCGGAGGGUGCAAGCGUUAAUCGGAAUUACUGGGCGUAAAGCGCACGCAGGCGGUCUGACAAGUCAGAUGUGAAAUCCCCGGGCUUAACCUGGGAACUGCAUUUGAAACUGGCAGGCUAGAGUCUUGUAGAGGGGGGUAGAAUUCCAGGUGUAGCGGCGAAAUGCGUAGAGAUCUGGAGGAAUACCGGUGGCGAAGGCGGCCCCCUGGACAAAGACUGACGCUCAGGUGCGAAAGCGUGGGGAGCAAACAGGAUUAGAUACCCCUGUAGUCCCUGUCUCUUAUAC